UAACCUGAUUUAUCAGGUUAGAAACCAACCUUACAAAUAAAAUCAUCCCACCCUCCCAGGGUUUGGUCCUGAGUGGGAAUUCCACCCCCCCCAAACAUCACGUCCCUGCUCCCCCUGCAUCCCAGAGCAGCCAGGGAGGUGGGAUGCGACGGGGGGCACCGUGUCACCGCCGCCUGCUACGUGUCACCCCCUGGGCCCCGCUCCCGCUCCCCGGUGCACCCCCAGCCGAGCAUCCCCCUCCGGUGACACUUUUGAUGAGCGUCUGGGGGUUUUUGGAGCGUGAACUCGUUGGGAACACAGUGCUUCUCAGGCUGGUGCCAGCACAGGGGCAAAGUUGAAGCCCCAGCACCUGAAAUCCUGCUGGAAAUGCUGGGGGGAAGGGAUUUUUCACCCCAAGCAUCUCCCAGCGCCACAAGCAAGGGAUUUCUUGAUAUUUGGGCAGCUGUCAUGAUAGCUGCAAAGUGGGGGUCUUGGGGGGCUCUCUUCCCAGCCCUGGCACAGCUCCCCAGCUGUGGUGGUGUCACAGUUUGGGUACAUUCUAAAAAAUGCAGAAUUAAAACCAGUGACAGCAAGUUCCCACUUUCCCUUGCCAGCCACUUGGAAAGGUGAAGUGAAGCGGUGGUGGAGGGGGAGUGGGGGUUUGCUCAGCUCUUUGCAGACCCCAGAGCUUGGAAAAGCCAGAAUAAGUCACUGACUCUCAUCCCAAUAAGCUUUUCCCAGCAGCUGUGGACAAGAGGGAUACAGAUUUCCCAGUAAAGAGAUUUUUUUCUUAGGAUAAUUUUAAAAAGUGAUGUCUCAUCUAAGCAUUCAUUCCCCUGAAAGCUCUUGGGGUGUCGGGGAUGCCCAAACGGAGCAGGAUGAGAGGGUUGCAGCACUGGGUGCAAUGCUGCAGCCAAGCAUCCCUCAAUUUCUCAGCGUUUUCUCUGAAAUCACCCAUUUCCUUCAUAAAUAACAACCUGUUUCCUCCUGCUCGGCACCUUCUCACCUGCAAAUAUUUCCAGCGCCGACCCCAGGAGCUGAGAAAGCGGGAUGGGACCCCCCACCCUCUAACCAGAGCCUUCUCUGCUCUCCCAAAAAGUUCCUCCUGAAACUCAAGUGCCUGAGAUUGAGUCACUAAAAUGCUGUGACAUCACCAGCGGUUUUCGCUACUGAGCAGCCCGAGUUUCCUGUUAUGCCCGCGCGCCUAUAGAUAUAGAUAUACAUACGCAUAGGUGCACACUGUUAGUGAUCGAGUUCACUCUCCUUCCUCCCUGCAAACGUUCGCUUCUCUCUUUAUUUUUUGCAGCAGUCGGGGCUGGAGAUCUUGGUCCUGCUAAGAGGAUGAAAACAUGGGGCUCAAGUUUUCCUGCCUGAAAGGCUUGAAGACGUGUGUGAGCAGCGGGAAUGGCAGUGACAGGACCCCAGAGGCACCCGGUGACAAACACCUGCACGUCCCUUCCAUCAUCGUCACACCACCCACACCCACAGGGACCGCGCUGGCCCGUGAUGCCCGGCGAGGAGGGGACACACCGUCCUGCAGCCAGUGCUGAGCUUGGGGACCUGGGGGGGACAGGCCGGGAUGUGAAUCAGCUGGAUCCUGAACCCUGGGGACACGCGGGGUGGUUUGGACACCAAUGACUCUUUUUUCUCUUUUCUUCCCAAAACCACCCCAACGCUGACCAUGUGACGAUGGCGGGACAAAAGCAGGGGGGUCACCCCACUGGCCCCCACCUCUCUGCUCGGAUUGCAGAAGCAGGUUGAAAACAGCAGUGGAAAAAUGAACUCGGCGUCACCCAAAACCCACUGGAUCAUCCGCAGCCUGGAGCGGGGGGAACCGGGGGCGAUGCUUUGCGGGAAGCGGCGGCACCGGGAGAGGCAGGGGUGUGAAAACAGAUGGAAAUUUAAUUUUUUAACGACGGCAGCAGAUGGCAAAA